rnacentral:rRNA from 1 species
GACGAACGCUGGCGGCGUGCUUAACACAUGCAAGUCGAACGAUGAAGUUCCUUCGGGAAUGGAUUAGUGGCGAACGGGUGAGGAACACGUGAGAAACCUGCCUUUCAUUUUGGGAUAACUCCGGGAAACUGGGGCUAAAACCGAAUACUCCGUCUCGGCGGCGUCGCUGAGCCGGGAAAAAAUUUUGAUGAAAGAUGGUCUCGCGGCCUAUCAGCUAGUUGGUGAGGUAAUGGCUCACCAAGGCAACGACGGGUAGCCGGCCUGAGAGGGCGACCGGCCACACUGGGACUGCGACACGGCCCAGACCCCAGCGGGAGGCAGCAGUGGGGAAUAUUGGGCAAUGGGCGCAAGCCUGACCCAGCGACGCCGCGUGAGGGAUGAAGGCCUUCGGGUUGUAAACCUCUUUCAGUAGGGAAGAAGCGAAAGUGACGGUACCUAAAGAAGAAGCACCGGCUAACUAUGUGCCAGCCGCCGCCGUAA